rnacentral:ncRNA from 2 species
UCUGAUCUCAAAUCAGGUAGGACUACCCG